GGCCACAUCACGUUGAAACACUGGUUCCCAUACAAUCACCGAAGUUUAGCAAUGUCGAGCCUGGUCAGUACCUAGAUCAGUAACCACUUGAGGAUACCAGGUGAUGUAAG